rnacentral:lncRNA from 1 species
AAAUUGAAUUUGAAUUCAAAUUCCCUCCCGUAUUGACAUUGUCUCGAGGAGCAAGGGGCUGCCUUGAUGGUCGUGCAUUCUCAAUCUUGGCUUCUUUGUUGUCAUUCCUCACAACCUGCUCCUGCUGCUUAUUGGACAGGUAAAUCGCCAUGAAAUCGGCGGACUGGUCAGAAUCCGACACGGGCUGGAUCACGAACUCGCGCUUUGAGCUAGAGACUCUGGCCACAAGGGGCUCUGGGGUACCAAGGAAGGGGUGGCAGCCUGCAAUGGGGCGGAUACCGAGGACGCGUGGGACGGGGGAGUCAAAAUUGAAGCGGUCGACGUAGGCGAACUGGCCGAGCUGGAGGCGGUUUGUGAGGAUGAGGUCGGCGGUGGAUCCUAGCGUUGCGGUGCUUGUGGCGCAUUUCCUGCGACGACAGCGUCCUCGCACUCAGCGUUGUUGAGCCGGGUCUUGCCGAGAGAUCCGUCGCUGUCGCUGGCUCUUAUGGUGGACAGGCGUAUCCAUCGUCGAUCGCCUUCGGACGUCCAUCGUAUGUGUUGACGCGGUUGGUGAUGCUAAAAUGCGCCGGCGGCGAUUGAGCGGCGGAGAAGAAGAAGGGUUCGAUUUGAUGGGGAGUAGGGAGAUUAAGAUGAUGCCGUUUGGGGCAGGGAGGACAGAGCAUAAGCUGCUGGGCCGCAUUGUGGGCUUGAUUUGAUUUGGGUUUCUUCUUCUUGGAGCUGGAUUUGGAUAAUAG